rnacentral:rRNA from 1 species
AACAGGAUUAGAUACCCUGGUAGUCCACGCUGUAAACGAUGUCGAUUUGGAGGUUGUGCCCUUGAGGCGUGGCUUCCGGAGCUAACGCGUUAAAUCGACCGCCUGGGGAGUACGGCCGCAAGGUUAAAACUCAAAUGAAUUGACGGGGGCCCGCACAAGCGGUGGAGCAUGUGGUUUAAUUCGAUGCAACGCGAAGAACCUUACCUACUCUUGACAUCCAGAGAACUUUCCAGAGAUGGAUUGGUGCCUUCGGGAACUCUGAGACAGGUGCUGCAUGGCUGUCGUCAGCUCGUGUUGUGAAAUGUUGGGUUAAGUCCCGCAACGAGCGCAACCCUUAUCCUUUGUUGCCAGCGGUUCGGCCGGGAACUCAAAGGAGACUGCCAGUGAUAAACUGGAGGAAGGUGGGGAUGACGUCAAGUCAUCAUGGCCCUUACGAGUAGGGCUACACACGUGCUACAAUGGCGUAUACAAAGAGAAGCGACCUCGCGAGAGCAAGCGGACCUCAUAAAGUACGUCGUAGUCCGGAUUGGAGUCUGCAACUCGACUCCAUGAAGUCGGAAUCGCUAGUAAUCGUAGAUCAGAAUGCUACGGUGAAUACGUUCCCGGGCCUUGUACACACCGCCCGUCACACCAUGGGAGUGGGUUGCAAAAGAAGUAGGUAGCUUAACCUUCGGGAGGGCGCUUACCACUUUGUGAUUCAUGACUGGGGUGAAGUCGUAACAAGGUAGCC